GAUUUCCCCAGGGUUAAGGGAGGACAUGCGACAAUUUCGCAUCACUUCUAUCAUCAAGAUACUGCAGCCCUGUGUUUUUGGAGUGCCCUGAACAGCACUGGGAAAAGGGAUUAAUUAGUGCUGCUCCUGCUGCACCAGAAAGCACUUCAACAAGUGACACCAAGUAGCAAUUUCUGCUCCAAACCCCCUGUGAAAUAUUCUUCCAGCACUGAAUUAAAGGCUUCACAUUAGCCAUCACUGGCCAGGUUUCCUCUCCAGGCCACCUCCACAGAAAGCUCAACAAGGGACACCGUGGACACCAUGCUCGGAACAGGAUGAGCCACCCUUCAAGGCAGCUUCCUUCUCCACAGAGCUUAGGAGGCACAUGAACAACCUGCACAGAUGUGUUAUGGCAUGAAGGACUUGGGGAGAAAAACUGGCAGUGGGCAACUUUUGGGGGGUUCCCUGCUCUGUCCCAGCUGGGUGGGGAGAGGACAAACAGUCCUUGUGGUACCUUACACCCACUCUGGCAUUGGCCCUUUCUUUUUUAUUGAAUACCUCAGCCUUUGAAUAAACAGUGAAAAUCAAA